GACAUGACGUGUGGCUGUCGUAAAAACCCUAUUUGUAAACAACCAGCCCUUUAACUCGGGGCUGCGUCAUAAACACGGCGCGCUUGGAAGACCACGAUGUCAUCUUCCUUCUGUCAGGAGGAUCCAAGUGAAGCUACAGGAGUUUCAUUAACGUCAACAACUUGGACCAAACAGUUUGUUUUGCUUGAUGAAGAGCAGGAAGGGCAGCCUGGAGAGAAAGAGAAGCCGGGUUGAGCCCACUACCAUCAUCCACGUACCACGAGGAAGAUGAGGGAGAGAAAUGAUCCUACCAUUAAAGAGACUGUGAAAAGAACGUUGAGAACAUCACCACUCUACAGGAAGACACAGUCCAGUAAUGGGUGUCAGAAGUUCAGUAGUGAACGACAGAAACAAACAAUCCAAAUUACCUGCAGAAAGCCCUUGAUGGACGCUUCAGCUGCAUCGUCAGACUGGCAGUACUGAUGCAUUUACUGAGAGGGGACGUGAGGGCCUACUCUGCGUGCUCAGAGUUCAAGCCCAGCAGGCUGCAGCGGGCCUGACAUAUUCUGGAACAGCAGCACAGUCUUUGGAUGACUCCUCUGAAGAUGAAAACAUGGCGAGUUCUUCUCAAGAGAGGCAGUACAGGUGUGCCUCAGCUCCACGCUCCCUCCUGCAGCCUCCGCUCCUGAUGCUAACCUCAUGUCUCCAUCACACCAAGCAGCAGACCUGGAUUGACAGACCUUUCUCCAGAGCUGCCCCCUCCCUCUGAAACCCCCCUCUCCAAAACACUAUUUGUGUAGUUUUUAAAGUAUUUUUUGCAUGAGAAUUGUUGAUCAUAACAUUUCCAGCAGAUGCCUUAAUAUAAUGUUUGUGCACAAUAAAUUACAUUGAUCAUAA